UGCCUUCAUGUGUUGCCCGGUCGCUGCUUCCAUCAUGAGCCGGGUGUCAGCUGAGGCAUACAGAAACUCUUACGGUGGUCUUUGUGGGCGGCGUCUUUAGUGACGCCUCUGACAGGAACGACUGUAAGGACACGC
ensembl:snoRNA